GAAAGCCGUAUGAGGGAGAACCUCACGUACGGUUUGAUGAGGAGGGGUAGAAUUAUUCUACCCCUUACUCUAU
rnacentral:ncRNA from 1 species